AUGAUACACCCUGCGAGACCCACAGCGGGCAGACAGCAGCAAGGCCAAUCCUUGACGCUCCAGGGGCCACCCGACAGCGAACAAAAGUGGUGCUUGCAUGAGACAGGGCUGCUGCAGGAGAUAAAUACAGAAGCACUGGAUUUCCUUGAGGGCACAACACGGAGAGCCACAGAACAUCCUGAUUUCUCCUCUGAGGAGCCAAAGGACCCCUCCAUGCCUCUUCUCAUGGCACAGGCCCUCCUGAACAUAACAAACCUGCAAGACUCCAAGGAAAUAUUGCAGGCUCCAUCGGUGCCUCUCCAGCAGAGGAGCCUGGCACAUGCCAGAGUCUCCAUGUUCUCCGCUUCCCCCACACCUCCCACCUGCAUCUGUCCUGGGGCUGCCUGGCCACAUCGUGAACAGCCUGUGCCCAGGGUCCCUGCCAGCUGCCACCAUGCCCGGCCGCUGAGGGAUCUGAGCAUUCACAGCUUCCUUGCUUCCCUGCGAUGUCUGAGCAUUGCUUGCAGGCUCCCACCUGGAAAGCAAGCGAGACUGGCCAGCGGGUGCCUGUGAGCAUGCAGAGGUGCCUUGGGCGCCCAGAAACCACUCUGAGGUUAACAGAGGAGGGAUGUAUUCCCUGAAUCCCACAUUCCUGCAGCUCCCCAGAAAGGCAGUGCCAUCUGGACUUCCUGGGACAAGUCCUGCACGUGGAGGAGCUGCAGGAUUUGGCUGCAGCAGGGCAGCAGCCAAGGAGGAGAAGCGUGGUCAGGACCACCCCACCUGGUAGCCAAGCCUCUGCUGCCCUGCAAAAUGGGGAGUGUGGAAAAGAGGUCACGGAGGCACUGAUGGUUCCCCUGCACGCUGCUCAUCACUGGUGCCCGGGUAGAGUGCGGGUGUCCAACUUUGCAGAUGCUCUUCCAAGACACUUUGGACCUUCCCUAAAUCUCCUCCUUCUAAUGAUUUUCAUUAUACUGGCUGCUGUUCAAAAUAAUAAUGACAGGGGGAAAAAUAAGCGCUAAGCGAGUUGUUCUUGGGGUCGCUGGGCCAGACAAGCAGCUGGCGCAGAGCAGCACCAGCCAGGUGGCUGCAGGCUGACGCCCUACANNNNNNNNNNNNCAGGCUCCCGGGCCUGGGCCUGCCGUGUGUGCGUGAGAGCGUGCGCCAGUGCUCAGCUCUCAGUCCUCUCCCCCUCUCUCUGUCUCCUUUUAU
rnacentral:lncRNA from 1 species